CCCCGGCCGGGGGGUCGGGUGCCACCAGCUUUGGUGCCUCUGGAUAACCUCGGGCCAAUCGCACGCCCCCCGUGGCAGCGAUGACCCAUUCGAACGUCUGCCCUAUCAACUUUCUAUGGUAGUCGCUGUGCCUACCAUGGUGACCACGGGUGACAGGGAAUCAGAGUUCGAUUCUGGAGAGGGAGCCUGAGAAAUGGCUACCACAUUCAAGGAAGGCAGCAGACACGCAAAUUACCCACUCCUGACACGGGGAGGUAGUGACGAAAAAUAACAAUACAGGACUCUUUCAAGGCCCUGUAAUUGGAAUGAGUCCACUUUAAAUCUUUUAAUGAGGAUCCAUUGGAGGGCAAGUCUGGUGCCAGCAGCCAUGGUAAUUCCAGCUCCAAUAGCGUAUAUUAAAGUUGUUGCAGUUAAAAAGCUCGUAGUUGAAUCUUGGGAGCGGGUGCGCUGGCGAGCCACAGCCCAUCCCUGCUUCUUGCCUCUCGGUGCCCCCUGGAUGCUCUUAGCUGAGUGUCCUCUGGCCCAAAGCGUUUACUUUGAAAAAAUUAGAGUGUUCAAAGCAGGCCCAAGCCACCUGGAUACUGCAGCUUGGAAUAAUGGAAUAGGACUGCGAUUCUAUUUUGUUGGUUUUCGGAACUGAGGCCAUGAUUAAGAGGGAUGGCCGGGGGCAUUCAUAUUGCACCUCUAGAGGUGAAAUGCUUGGACUGGCACAGUUUGGACCAGAGCAAAAGCAUUUGCCAAGAAUGUUUUCAUUAAUCAAGAACGAAAGUCAGAGGUUCGAAGACAAUCAGAUACCGUGGUAGUUCCGACCAUAAACAAUGCCGACUGGCGGCUCCCAUGACCCGCUGGGCAGCUUCCAAGAAACCAGCCUUUGGGUUUUUCGGUUCUGAGGGGAGUAUGGUUGCAAAGCUGAAACUUAAAGGAAUUGACAGAAGGGCACCACCAGGAGUGGAGCCUGCAGCUUAAUUUGACUCAACAUGGGAAAACUCACCCGGCCUGGACAGGGACAGGAUUGAUAGAUUGAUAGCUCUUUCUCGAUUCCAUGAGUUGUGGUGCACGGCCUUAGUUGGUGGAGUGAUUUGUCUGGUUAAUUCCGAUAACGAACAAGACUCUGGCAUGCCAAAUAGUUAUGCGACCCCCAAGUGGUCGGCAUCCCCCAACUUCUUAGAGGGACAAGUGGCGUUCAGCCACCUGAGAUUGAGCAAUAACAGGUCUGUGAUGCCCUUAAAUGUCCAGGGCUGCACGCGCACUACACUGACUG
rnacentral:rRNA from 1 species